UCCGGAGGGCGCAAUCGUUGUUCGGAAUCAUUGGGCGUAAAGCGUGCGUAGGUGGUUUGUUAAGUCAGGCGUGAAAUCCCUGGGCUCAACCUGGGAACUGCGUUUGAUACUGGCAGACUCGAGUGUGGUAGAGGGUAGUGGAAUUCCGCAUGUAGCAGUGAAAUGCGUAGAUAUGCGGAGGAACACCAGUGGCGAAGGCGGCUACCUGGACCAACACUGACACUGAGGCACGAAAGCGUGGGGAGCAAACAGG
rnacentral:rRNA from 1 species